AGGGAGACAGAAUCCAAAGCAGGCCUCAGGCUCUAAACUGUCAGCACAGAGCUGGAGGUGGGACUCAAAACACAUGAACCUGAGCCAAAGUGGGAUGCUUAACUGACUGAGCCACCCAGGCUGCCCGUCAUUUUUUUUUUAACAGCACUAGCACUACCUGUCCUGUAUUCUAAACUUCUUUAUUUAUUUGUUUUUUCUCGGUCUCUUCCCUGAGAAAGUAAGCUCUGUGAAGGCAGAUUCAUUGAUGUUCUCAACACAGAGCAGUUCAGAAUAUAAUUGUUGAAUGAAUGAAUAAACUGACUUGCGCUUUAGCUCAAUAUGCUGAGAUAAAGGACAAACCUUUGAAAAAUAAUAUAUGACUAUGUUGGCAACAUUAAAGAUGAUGUGACGGAUACAAUAAUGUUUACUUGCUGGCGAUAUAGUAUAUACCAAGAAUACUCAAGAAAAUAAUUUGAAGAUGCUUAGUAUGCAAAGAAUAACUAAUUAAGAAGAUC
rnacentral:lncRNA from 1 species